rnacentral:rRNA from 1 species
CCUACGGGAGGCAGCAGUGGGGGAUAUUGCACAAUGGGGGAAACCCUGCUGCAGCGACGCCGCGUGCGUGAAGAAGUAUUUCGGUAUGUAACGCUCUAUCAGCAGGGAAGAAAAUGACAGUACCUGACACACAAGCCCCGGCUACCUACGUGCCAGCAUCCGCGGUAAUACGUAGGGGUAAAGCGGUCUCCGGAUUUACUGGGUGUAACGGGAGCGUAGACGGUUAUGUAAGUCUGGAGUUAAAGCCCGGGGCCCAACCCCGGGACUGCUGUGGAAACUGUGUAACUGGAGUACAGGAGGGGCAGGCGGAAUUUCUGGUGUAGCGGUGAAAUGCGUAGAUAUCAGGAGGAACACCGGCGGCGAAGGCGGCCUGCUGGACUGAAACUGACGUUGAGGCUCGAAAGCGUGGGGAGCAAACAGGAUUAGAUACCCUUGUAGUC